AUUGAACGCUGGCGGCAGGCCUAACACAUGCAAGUCGAACGGUAACAGGAAGCAGCUUGCUGCUUCGCUGACGAGUGGCGGACGGGUGAGUAAUGUCUGGGAAGCUGCCUGAUGGAGGGGGAUAACUACUGGAAACGGUAGCUAAUACCGCACAAUGUCGCAAGACCAAAGAGGGGGACCUUCGGGCCUCUUGCCAUCGGAUGUGCCCAGAUGGGAUUAGCUUGUUGGUGGGGUAACGGCUCACCAAGGCGACGAUCCCUAGCUGGUCUGAGAGGAUGACCAGCCACACUGGAACUGAGACACGGUCCAGACUCCUACGGGAGGCAGCAGUGGGGAAUAUUGCACAAUGGGCGCAAGCCUGAUGCAGCCAUGCCGCGUGUAUGAAGAAGGCCUUCGGGUUGUAAAGUACUUUCAGCGGGGAGGAAGGGAGUAAAGUUAAUACCUUUGCUCAUUAACGUUACCCGCAGAAGAAGCACCGGCUAACUCCGUG
rnacentral:rRNA from 1 species